rnacentral:pre_miRNA from 1 species
UUUUUAGUAUAACUAUGUCCUAUGUAAUAUUUAUGACAUACUUAUACCAAAA